rnacentral:rRNA from 1 species
UACGGGGGGGGCAAGCGUUGUUCGGAAUUACUGGGCGUAAAGGGCGCGUAGGCGGCCUCCGCAAGUCGACUGUGAAAUCUCCGGGCUUAACCCGGAAAGGUCAGCCGAAACUGCGGGGCUAGAGUGCAGAAGGGGCAACUGGAAUUCUCGGUGUAGCGGUGAAAUGCGUAGAUAUCGAGAGGAACACCUGCGGCGAAGGCGGGUUGCUGGGCUGACACUGACGCUGAAGCGCGAAAGCUAGGGGAGCGAACGGG